rnacentral:rRNA from 1 species
GACGAACGCUGGCGGCGUGCUUAACACAUGCAAGUCGAACGGUGAAGCGCCUUCCUUUUUGGUGGGUGUGGAUGAGUGGCGAACGGGUGUGUAACACGUGAGUAACCUGCCCCCUUCUUCUGGAUAACCGCAUGAAAGUGUGGCUAAUACGGGAUAUUCUGGGUCUGUCGCAUGAUGGGUCUGGGAAAGAUAUUGUUUCGGUGGGGGAUGGGCUCGCGGCCUAUCAGCUUGUUGGUGGGGUGAUGGCCUACCAAGGCGGUGACGGGUAGCCGGCCUGAGAGGGUGGACGGUCACACUGGGACUGAGACACGGCCCAGACUCCUACGGGCGGCAGCAGUGGGGAAUAUUGCACAAUGGGCGCAAGCCUGAUGCAGCGACGCCGCGGGAGGGAUGGAGGCCUUCGGGUUGUGAACCUCCUUCGCCAGUGAAGCAGGCCUGCCUCGUUUGUGGGUGGGUUGACGGUAGCUGGAUAAGAAGCGCCGGCUAACUACGUG